GGGCUCGUAGCUCAGUGGUAGAGCGGUCGGCUCAUAACCGAUUGGUCGUAGGUUCGAACCCUGCCGAGCCCACCA
rnacentral:tRNA from 1 species